GACGAACGCUGGCGGCGUGCCUAAUACAUGCAAGUCGAGCGGACGAAUCGAAAGCUUGCUUUUGUUUCGUUAGCGGCGGACGGGUGAGUAACACGUGGGCAACCUGCCCUGUAGACGGGGAUAACACCGAGAAAUCGGUGCUAAUACCGGAUAACACGAAGUGUCGCAUGACGCUUCGUUGAAAGACGGCGCUAGCUUUCCCUAUAGGAUGAGCCCGCGGCGCAUUAGCUAGUUGGUAAGGUAACGGCUCACCAAGGCGACGAUGAGUAGCCGCCCUGAGAGGGUGAUCGGCCACACUGGAACUGAGACACGGUCCAGACUCCUACGGGAGGCAGCAGUAGGGAAUCUUCCGCAAUGGGCGAAAGUCUGACGGAGCAACGCCGCGUGAGCGAUGAAGGUCUUCGGGUCGUAAAGCUCUGUUAUUAGGGAAGAACAUAUGACGCAGUAACUGGCGAUAUCGUGACGGUACCUAACGAGAAAGCCACGGCUAACUACGUG
rnacentral:rRNA from 1 species